AGCGAACGCUGGCGGCAGGCCUAACACAUGCAAGUCGAACGAACCUUUCGGGGUUAGUGGCGGACGGGUGAGUAACACGUGGGAACGUGCCUUUAGGUUCGGAAUAACUCAGGGGAACUUGUGCUAAUACCGAAUGUGCCCUUCGGGGGGAAGAUUUAUCGCCUUUAGAGCGGCCCGCGUCUGAUUAGCUAGUUGGUUGAGGUAAUGGCUCACCAAGGCGACGAUCAGUAGCUGGUCUGAGAGGAUGAUCAGCCACAUUGGGACUGAGACACGGCCCAAACUCCUACGGGAGGCAGCAGUGGGGAAUCUUGCGCAAUGGGCGAAAGCCUGACGCAGCCAUGCCGCGUGAAUGAUGAAGAUCUUAGGAUUGUAAAAUUCUUUCACCGGGGACGAUAAUGACGGUACCCGGAGAAGAAGCCCCGGCUAACUUCGUG
rnacentral:rRNA from 1 species